rnacentral:rRNA from 1 species
AUUGAACGCUGGCGGCAGGCCUAACACAUGCAAGUCGAGCGGAUGAAGGGAGCUUGCUCCUGGAUUCAGCGGCGGACGGGUGAGUAAUGCCUAGGAAUCUGCCUGGUAGUGGGGGAUAACGUCCGGAAACGGGCGCUAAUACCGCAUACGUCCUGAGGGAGAAAGUGGGGGAUCUUCGGACCUCACGCUAUCAGAUGAGCCUAGGUCGGAUUAGCUAGUUGGUGGGGUAAAGGCCUACCAAGGCGACGAUCCGUAACCGGUCUGAGAGGAUGAUCAGUCACACUGGAACUGAGACACGGUCCAGACUCCUACGGGAGGCAGCAGUGGGGAAUAUUGGACAAUGGGCGAAAGCCUGAUCCAGCCAUGCCGCGUGUGUGAAGAAGGUCUUCGGAUUGUAAAGCACUUUAAGUUGGGAGGAAGGGCAGUAAGUUAAUACCUUGCUGUUUUGACGGUACCAACAGAAUAAGCACCGGCUAACUUCGUG